GCUAUUAUUUGGGGUGGAUAGCUGACUGUCUUACUCUAACUCUGUUCUGCCCCACGCCUUUUUUUUAGUGGAAAGAAUAUGGGCAUCAGACAGAUGUGACUUGGGAUUCUGCCUCUGCCAUUUACUAGCUUUGUGACACCUUUGAAGAUGAUGUGGCUUUCUACACCUGCAUAACCUCAACCCUCUGGUUUUCACUGAUUGCUUCACAGCCAGACAUCAGACCCAGUCUGAGAAGAAUAUGAUGGGUGCGGCUUAAAAACCUAGAUCACGUGUGGUGUUGGAAUUGGGUGUUAUACGAGCAAACAAAAUAAAUACUUGCACAAUAUACCUGCUUUGUGCACUCAAGCAGAGAAGAGAUCCACAAGUACUCACCAGUCUCCUGUUCUGCAAAGAAGACAGAAUCAACAUGAGCACUGCAGGAAAAGUAAUCAAAUGCAAAGCAGCUGUGCUAUGGGAGGUAAAGAAACCCUUUUCCAUUGAGGAGGUGGAGGUUGCACCUCCUAAGGCUCAUGAAGUUCGCAUUAAGAUGGUGGCCGUAGGAAUCUGUCGAUCAGAUGACCACGUGGUUAGUGGUACCCUAGUGACCCCUCUUCCUGCGAUUUUAGGCCACGAGGCAGCUGGCAUCGUGGAGAGUGUUGGAGAAGGGGUGACUACAGUCAAACCAGGUGAUAAAGUCAUCCCACUCUUUACUCCUCAGUGUGGAAAAUGCAGAGUUUGUAAAAACCCAGAAAGCAACUACUGCUUCAAAAAUGAUCUGAGCAAUCCUCGGGGGACCAUGCAGGAUGGCACCAGGAGAUUCACCUGCAGGGGGAAGCCCAUCCACCACUUCCUCGGCAUCAGCACCUUCUCCCAGUACACGGUGGUGGAUGAGAAUGCAGUGGCCAAAAUUGAUGCAGCUUCACCCCUGGAGAAAGUCUGCCUCAUUGGCUGUGGAUUUUCGACUGGCUAUGGGUCUGCAGUCAAAGUUGCCAAGGUCACCCCAGGCUCUACCUGUGCUGUGUUUGGCCUGGGAGGGGUCGGCCUAUCUGCUGUUAUGGGCUGUAAAGCAGCUGGAGCAGCCAGAAUCAUUGCGGUGGACAUCAACAAGGACAAAUUUGCAAAGGCCAAAGAGUUGGGUGCCACUGAAUGCAUCAACCCUCAAGACUACAAGAAACCCAUGCAGGAGGUGCUAAAGGAAAUGACUGAUGGAGGUGUGGAUUUUUCGUUUGAAGUCAUCGGUCGGCUUGACACCAUGAUGGCUUCCCUGUUAUGUUGUCAUGAGGCAUGUGGCACAAGCGUCAUCGUAGGGGUACCUCCUGAUUCCCAGAACCUCUCAAUAAACCCUGUGCUGCUACUGACUGGACGCACCUGGAAAGGAGCUAUUUUUGGAGGCUUUAAGAGUAAAGAAUCUGUCCCCAAGCUUGUGUCUGACUUUAUGGCUAAGAAGUUUUCACUGGAUGCAUUAAUAACAAAUGUCUUACCUUUUGAAAAAAUAAAUGAAGGAUUUGACCUGCUUCGCUCUGGAAAGAGGUAGAUUUUAAGUUGCUUUUUUGUUAUUGUUUUGCUUUGUAUUCUACAGUAGUGGGGUGUCUAGCAGAGAAUGUAAACGUGGAAGGAUGAGAAAAAAUUAGUGCCUUGGUUUUCCAUUGCCAGUUCAAUCUUUGCAUGGAGCACAUGUAAGGUAAUAUGGUGAGAAGCUAAAAACCGUUACUUUACAUUUCCUAUUCUGCUGAAGUGAAAUUAUGUUGAUUACCCCAUAUCUGAAUGAUUAGAGUCACUCAGCCUUCUUUAAAAAAUAACACUCACCUUGGCCCCCACCCCCCAAAAAAUAAGUUUUAACAACCAUAAUUAUAACAUGGAUUCACUGACACCUCUGCCUGUCAUCUAAAUAAGUGUGACAUCUAAUGGUUGUAUAUUAAAAUUAUUUUCAGGACAUCCUCAGGAUAUUCAUUAUGGGAGUAGGUGGAACUACAUUAGGAUUGAUUUCUAAGUAGAUAUUACUAGAUUUUCCUUUUUCUUUUCUUUUUUCUUUUUUUUUUUUCUAUUUUUCUUUUU